rnacentral:rRNA from 1 species
CCUACGGGGGGCUGCAGUGGGGAAUAUUGCACAAUCGGGGAAACCCUGAUGCAGCGACGCCGCGUGAGUGAAGAAGUAUUUCGGUAUGUAAAGCUCUAUCAGCAGGAACGAGACAAGACGGUACCUGACUAAGAAGCCCCGGCUAACUACGUGCCAGCAGCCGCGGUAAUAAGUAGGGGGCAAGCGUUAUCCGGAAUCACUGGGUGUAAAGGGAGCGUAGGCGGCUGAGCAAGCCUGAAGUGAAAGGCGGGGGCCCAACCCCCGGACUGCAUUGGGAACUGUACGGCUGGAGUGCAGGAGAGGUAAGUGGAAUUCGUAGUGUAGCGGUGAAAUGCGUAGAUAUUAGGAGGAACACCAGUGGCGAAGGCGGCUUACUGGACUGUAACUGACGUUGAGGCUCGAAAGCGUGGGGAGCGAACAGGAUUAGAUACCCUUGUAGUC